AAAUCUUCGUUAAAUGAAUAACAAAAAAAUAUCCUUAUGCGUGCUUUCAUUUCUUACAAGGAGCAGUGCUGUUGUUCCAAUUGAUAAAAUUGGGUUUCUACUUUGUAUUAUUAUUUUUCUGUUCAUAUUGCAACUGUUUUUGUAUCAUGUUUCUAUUUGUCUUUAACUUUGAAUCCCAUUAAAUCUGUUACGAUUUCUGUACAAUACCAGACCAGUGUUUAUUUUUGUCAUAUGAAAGAAAUAGUUUUGUAGAACGAUCCUUUGUUUUCCUUUGCUU
rnacentral:lncRNA from 1 species